GAGGGCUAAGGUGGGGCGUUAGAGAGACAGAGAGAAGAGAUAAGGGCCGGAUCAACAGGAGGAAGGUAGUGGGAGGGGGCGGUGUGAGAGGGAGAGAAGAGAUAAAAGACCCUGUUGGAGUUUCCAACCGGGAUAAAAGACCCCCUUUUGUCCCGGUUGAUAAUUUUAUCCCGGUUGCAGUUUCCAACCGAGACAAAAAACCCCCUAUCUCGGUUGGAAUUACCAACUGGGAC
rnacentral:lncRNA from 1 species